rfam:Erinaceus europaeus unplaced genomic scaffold scaffold00481, whole genome shotgun sequence
AGCUUUGUACAGUGGAAGUAUUAUAGCCAGAUAGGUUUAUCUGAGGCACAAUUAUUGCUGGUUGAAAAACAAAAUAGAAUGUUCCGUCUUUUAUUUAUUAUGUCUUCAUAAUUCUAUUCAUGUUGUGCAUCCACAGCUGGA